rnacentral:tRNA from 1 species
GCCUUCGUGGUGUAGUGGUCAGCACGCUCGGCGCGUAUUCGAGAGGCCCGGGUUCAAGUCCCGGCGAGGGCA